GUGGGGAAUAUUGGACAAUGGGCGCAAGCCUGAUCCAGCCAUGCCGCGUGAGUGAUGAAGGCCUUAGGGUUGUAAAGCUCUUUUACCCGGGACGAUAAUGACGGUACCGGGAGAAUAAGCCCCGGCUAACUUCGUGCCAGCAGCCGCGGUAAUACGAAGGGGGCUAGCGUUGCUCGGAAUCACUGGGCGUAAAGGGCGCGUAGGCGGCCUGACAAGUCGGGGGUGAAAGCCUGUGGCUCAACCACAGAAUUGCCUUCGAUACUGUCGGGCUUGAGACCGGAAGAGGACAGCGGAACUGCGAGUGUAGAGGUGAAAUUCGUAGAUAUUCGCAAGAACACCAGUGGCGAAGGCGGCUGUCUGGUCCGGUUCUGACGCUGAGGCGCGAAAGCGUGGGGAGCAAACAGG
rnacentral:rRNA from 1 species